rnacentral:rRNA from 1 species
GUCCGGGCUCAAUUUCCUUGGAACAGGAGGUCAUGGAGGGUGAGAACCCCGUACAUGGCUUGGGUGCCGCAGUCCUAGUGAUGGUUCCUCUAAGAGUCGGGUUGUUUGGGAAUGCAGCUCAAAAUGGGUGGUAAAUUUCAUCUAAAGCUAAAUAUUGGCGAGAGACCGAUAGCAAACAAGUAGAGUGAUCGAAAGAUGAAAAGUACUUUGAAAAGAGAGUGAAACAGUACGUGAAAUUGUUGAAAGGGAAGCGUUUGGCAUCAGCCCAUGAUGGUCAUCGAACAUCCUGGCUUCUGCCUGGUGCACUCGAUGGCCAUUGGGCCAGCGUCGGCUCUGCCAGCUGGAGAAAGGCCUUGGACAAGUGGCUCCUUUUCGGGAGCGUUAUAGCCCAUGGCGUCAUGCAGCUUGGUGGGGCCGAGGUCCGCGGGUUUUCCUAGGACGCUGGCGUAAUGGUUCCAAGCGACCCGUCUUGAAACACGGACCAAGGAGUCUAACAUCUAUGCGAGUGUUUGGGUGUCAAGCCCGACCGCGCAAUGAAAGUGAAUGCAGGC